rnacentral:rRNA from 1 species
AUUGAACGCUGGCGGCAGGCCUAACACAUGCAAGUCGAACGAGUGGCGGACGGGUGAGUAAUGUCUGGGAAACUGCCUGAUGGAGGGGUAUAACUACUGGAAACGGUAGCUAAUACCGCAUACCAUCGGAUGUGCCCAGAUGGGAUUAGCUAGUAGGUGGGGUAAAGGCUAACCUAGGCGACGAUCCCUAGCUGGUCUGAGAGGAUGACCAGCCAAACUGGAACUAAGACACGGGCCAGACUCAUGAGGGAGGCAGCAGUGGGGAAUAGUGCACAAUGGGCGAAAGCCUGAUGCAGCCAUGCCGCGUGUAUGAAGAAGGCCGUCGGGUUGUAAAGUACUUUCAGCGGGGAGGCGGUACCCGCAGAAGAAGCACCGGCUAAAUCCGUGCCAGCAGCCGCGGUAAUAC